UUAAGUUCAGCGGGUAGUCCUACCUGAUCCGAGGUCAACAUAUGGCGGGACCGGGGUCCCUAUGUCGGGGGUUUUACGGCAAGCCCAGCUGCUUCUCCCAGGGCAUCUAACGGUAAAGUUACUGUACCCGGGGCCCGCAGACGGACCGCGCACUUCUGCUUGGGGGCCUAAGGGGGGGCUUCGCGAGAAACCGCCCCCUA
rnacentral:misc_RNA from 1 species